rnacentral:rRNA from 1 species
ACUCAAAUGAAUUGACGGGGGCCCGCACAAGCAGCGGAGCGUGUGGUUUAAUUCGAGGCUACACGAAGAACCUUACCUGGCGUUGACAUGUGAGUGAACGACGGUGAAAGCCGGAGGUCCGCAAGGCACUCACACAGGUGCUGCAUGGCUGUCGUCAGCUCGUGCCGUGAGGUGUUAGGUUAAGUCCUGUAACGAGCGCAACCCCCGGGUCCAGUUACACGUGGUCUGGACCGACUGCCCGUGACAAGCGGGAGGAAGGUGGGGAUGACGUCAAGUCAGCAUGGCCUUUAUCGCCAGGGCUACACACACGCUACAAUGGUCGGUACAAUGGGUCGCCAAGCCGCAAGGCGGAGCCAAUCCACUAAAGCCGGUCACAGUUCGGAUUGUGGGCUGCAACCCGCCCACAUGAAGUCGGAGUUGCUAGUAACCGCCGGUCAGCCAUACGGCGGUGAAUACGUUCCCGGGCCUUGUACACACCGCCCGU